AGCAUUUGCGUCAAGUAUAUUGAAUACUGAAUCAUAUAGCUGGAUAAAACCGUGUUAUUUGCCUACAACAUUCAUACAGUUCUCUGAGUUCUCACCACCAGGAAACAGCGGUCUUAAAGUUCAUGCUGUUUGUGCACGCUCAACUUCAAUUCGAAAAUCAAAGGGCAUACUAAACGACGUCAUAACUGAAAAGAUUUUUAAAUCGAGAAACUGCGCGGAACUGCCAUAUUUGG